ACUACUGGACUCUUUAGUCACCGCGAGGAAUAGCUUUUACCUGUGUCACCUGUCUUACAGUUUUUCCUGCCAAUCAGGACUUGGGAAGUAGAUACAAUUAAGUUUCCAUCAACGCACAAAAAGCCCAAGUUAGCAGGCAACACUUCAUUCGAGCAUCCGUAGGAACGAAAAACAGACAAAGACACGGAAACAGCUAUAAAGCAUAGUCAUUUAAGCGAUACAUGGAAGACAUUAAUGUGCGCGGACUUGGUCUUGUCCACAAUAUGGCCAAUCUCAAAAAAGAAGCUUAUCUUGCCAAAUUUAAGACCGAAUUCAAUAACUGGGUUUUACCUGAAAUAAAGCAAAUGAAUGAUUUGUUAGACGAGCAAUCGUCAAAGAUGAAAGAAUUUCUUACAGCAAUCAAUCAACACGUGGGCAUACUUACUACAGAAGUGAGCAUCUUGAGAAACGAGAAUGUCGAACUGAGGGCAAGCAUUGACCACUUGAGGGAAACCAAUAACGGAUUUACAGAGCAGUUAGCAAAUAUGCAAAGGCAAAUUGACGAAUUGACGCGGAACAAUUCAACUUGAUUCAAUAACAUUUUGGGCUUUAAUAUUCGAGCAAUAUAUUCACACUUUUUAAAGCAGCUUGGCAAACACUAAACCUAUGUUACUUAACGUCUAAAAAGCACUUGAUAUCCGUCAAUUACCAUGUAAUAAUUUCACAAAAAUGGCUAGUUACGCCGUAAUUGUAAUUUUACUUGUAGAUAUAAACAUUGCUUAAUUUAAUAACUUCAUUUACCCUUGUAAUAAUUUGUAUAAAAAUAAAUUAAGGAAUAGCUAUACACAGUA